CUAAAAGUUUGACUCUGCUAAAAAAGAAGCCAAGAGCAACGGGCUCUCACCCAUCUUAGCAAAGCACAUGAGAGAGCCUUGGGGCCCAGCAGUGCCCUCUGGAGAAGUAAAUUCCCAACGAUGUCACAUCACAUGAUGGCGAAGCUGGUUUGAAGCCCGGGCUCUCAAAGCGACUUCCAGCAGACCAUGACGGGAAUCAAGGUAGGGAUGUCACCACUAAUUGCAUUGGCUAUGGCGGCGCUCGUGGGCAACCAGGGGCCGGCUCAGGAGCCCCAGCAGCACUCGUGCAUCCCGGCAGUGCCCAGCUGUGCUCUCGUCCUCCUGGUGGGGCACCGGGAUGAGCCGGGUCUGUGAGCUGUGCCGCUGUGGGCAGCACAGGAGCCCGGCAGGACCUGCUUUGUUGUGUGCAGAGCUGCGAGGAGGGCUGCGGGAUGCUCGCUGGCUGCCACAGCCGCGUCGUUGCGGGCAGAUUUAUUAAGCUCAGUCUCGGCAGCGGUGUCACCGCAGCUGGCGGCACAUCUGGAGCAGGAGGAAGGGGAGGGCAGCUCCGUAAAUCACGGGGUUGAUUUGGGUGAGCGCUGCUGCUGGCUGUUAGGGUCGUCGUGUAUGGUUCUGAGGGCAGCGAGCUCGUGCCCAGCCAGCAGCUGCAGUGUGUGCUCGUGCACCCCUCUGCUAUUGUUUGGUGCAUCACAAGGCGUUCAGUGACUUUGAUACGGCAAUGCACAGUGGCAUCGUGGCGGCAGAGGGAGGUCCAUCCGGCACUGUUGGUUUCCGUUUGCUGUUGUCAAGAUUUCCAAAGCUGCUUAAGGAAUUGUAGCACCAAACCCUGUUAGAUCCGGGGGAAUGGGAUCCAGAAAUCCCCGCCAUCCCUUCUUCACUCUUUGUCAGGCUCUUGCUCCAAGCUGUAUCCUGACGGGUGUCCUGCACAGGGCAUGAGAUGUGGCGGGGACAGGAGGGGCAUUGCCACCAUUCCUGCCUGCUGAGCAGAAAGACACGCAGCUUCCUUCUCUCUGCACCACAACACAACAUCUGUUUGAAAGAACAACAAAUACAUGGGUGAGGUGUCCGCUGCCCCGCAUCUGUUGCCAGCUGUGGUUGGGGUCUGCGGUGUGCUUGG
rnacentral:lncRNA from 1 species